ensembl:misc_RNA Metazoa_SRP Metazoan signal recognition particle RNA
GCUGGGUGUGGUGGUGCACACCUGUAAUCCCAGCUACUUGGGAGGCUGAGGCAGGAGAAUCGCUUGAACCCAGGAGGCGGAGCUUGCAGUGAGCCAAAAUCAGGCCACUGCACUCCAGCCUGGGUGACAGAGUGAGACUCCGUUUCAA